rnacentral:rRNA from 1 species
GUACUCCGGGGAUAACAGGCUGAUACCGCCCAAGAGUUCAUAUCGACGGCGGUGUUUGGCACCUCGAUGUCGGCUCAUCACAUCCUGGGGCUGAAGUAGGUCCCAAGGGUAUGGCUGUUCGCCAUUUAAAGUGGUACGCGAGCUGGGUUUAGAACGUCGUGAGACAGUUCGGUCCCUAUCUGCCGUGGGCGCUGGAGAACUGAGGGGGGCUGCUCCUAGUACGAGAGGACCGGAGUGGACGCAUCACUGGUGUUCGGGUUGUCAUGCCAAUGGCACUGCCCGGUAGCUAAAUGCGGAAGAGAUAAGUGCUGAAAGCAUCUAAGCACGAAACUUGCCCCGAGAUGAGUUCUCCCUGACCCUUUAAGGGUCCUGAAGGAACGUUG